CCUACGGGAGGCAGCAGUGGGGAAUUUUGGACAAUGGGGGCAACCCUGAUCCAGCAAUGCCGCGUGAGUGAAGAAGGCCUUCGGGUUGUAAAGCUCUUUUGUCAGGGAAGAAACGGUUUUGGAUAAUACCCAGAGCUAAUGACGGUACCUGAAGAAUAAGCACCGGCUAACUACGUGCCAGCAGCCGCGGUAAU
rnacentral:rRNA from 1 species